rnacentral:rRNA from 1 species
CGUACCCUUUUCUAAGGAAUAGCCACUGGAAACGGUGAGUAAUACCUUAUACGCCCUUCGGGGGAAAGAUUUAUCGGAGAAGGAUCGGCCCGCGUUAGAUUAGAUAGUUGGUGGGGUAACGGCCUACCAAGUCUACGAUCUAUAGCUGGUUUUAGAGGAUGAUCAGCAACACUGGGACUGAGACACGGCCCAGACUCCUACGGGAGGCAGCAGUGGGGAAUCUUGGACAAUGGGCGCAAGCCUGAUCCAGCCAUGCCGCGUGAGUGAUGAAGGCCUUAGGGUCGUAAAGCUCUUUCGCUGGGGAUGAUAAUGACAGUACCCAGUAAAGAAACCCCGGCUAACUCCGUGCCAGCAGCCGCGGUAAUACGGAGGGGGCUAGCGUUGUUCGGAAUUACUGGGCGUAAAGCGCGCGUAGGCGGAUUGGAAAGUUGGGGGUGAAAUCCCGGGGCUCAACCUCGGAACUGCCUCCAAAACUAUCAGUCUAGAGUUCGAGAGAGGUGAGUGGAAUUCCGAGUGUAGAGGUGAAAUUCGUAGAUAUUCGGAGGAACAC